GUCUUCGUAGUAUAAUUAACAAUACACUGGUCUUGUAAACCAAAAAUGAGAAUAUAUUUCUCUCAAGACG
rnacentral:tRNA from 1 species